rnacentral:sRNA from 1 species
GGCCGCCGCCCGCACACCGAACCUCUCGGGGCUGAGUCGGGCUGCUUUCUCCGCGCGUCCCGGGGAGCUCUCGGGAACUCAGGAGCGCGCGGCGAGCUGAACAAUGGCCUGGGGACACCUGGCAGGUCGCAGGCCCCAAGCCAUCCCCACCGCCCCUCGGGCACCGCCCGGCGCUCGGACCCUACCGGCGUUCCCAGAGCGGGGCAGACGGGGCGGUGCCAUUGGUCGGUGCGGAGUGAGGGGCGUGCUCGGGGCGGGACGGAGAGACCGGGGCGGCACCAUUGGCCGUGCCGGGCGAGAGGCGGGGAGAGGGGCGGGGCGAAUGGCGAGGGGCGGGGCGAGGGGCGGGCCUGGCCCCGAGCAGCUGAAGCCUGGGUUCAGCAGGCGCUGCGGGCGCAGCUCCGGUGCAAGCGAGGACACGACACAUGCAGUGGCUUCUGGACUGCGCGAUGGCUGGACGCAAGUAACUCCUAGGUCUGCAGACAAGAGGAAGAGAAGAUGAAGGAAGACUGUCUGCCGAGUUCUCACGUGCCCAUCAGUGACAGCAAGUCCAUUCAGAAGUAAGCCUUGGUGUGCAGGUUGGGUGGGGGAGUCUUCACAUUUGCCAUCCCCCUCGUCCUGGGCAGCCUUUAGGUGGAGGGGUUCUGAGCACUUGUUCAGAGAUCUGAUGGGGUGCCCUGGGGGACAGAGAUGGGGUGCUUCUUUUUGAGCCUGUCCAAUAGGGGAUUCCUCAGCCACACAUGACCAUGGCUGGGAGGCAUGGGCAAUAGAAAAGAGGCUUCAGAUGGCAGGCACUUUAUACGAAAUAAGUGUGUACAGGGCCUCAUUAUAACUUUUACAUUGAUUGCAUGUUGACAAAUAGUAAUUUAGAUAUAUUGAGUUCAAUAAAAUGUGUUAUUAAUGCUAAUUUCACCUGUUUCAUUUUCCCCUCUGUAUUAGGCCAUUCUUGUGUUGCUAUAAAGAAAUACCUGAAGCUGGGUAAUUUACAAAGAAAAGAGGUUUAGUUGGCUCAUGGUUCUGGAGGCUUUACAGGAAGUGUGGUGCUGGCAUCUGCUCGGCUUCCAGGGAGGCCUCAAGGAGCCUCCAGUCAUGUUGGAAGGCGAACGGGGAGCAGGCACUUCACGUGGCGAAAGCAGGAGCAAGAGAGAGGGAGUGGAGGGCGGUGCCACACACUUAUAAACGACCAGACCUCGUGUGAACUCAGAGCAAGAGCUCACUCAUCACCAUGGGGAUGGCCCAAGCCACUCAUGAGGGAUCUUCUCCCAUGAUCCAAACACCUCCCAGCUGGCCCCACCUCCAACACUGGGAAUUACAAUUCCAUAUGAGAUUUGGGUGGGGACACACAUCCAAACCGUAUCACCUCCUAACAUGUACUAGAAGACUGAAAUUAUCAGUGUGGCUCACAUCCCAUGUCUGUUGGCCCUGCUGCCCCCCAGAGCCCAGCUUGGGUUCAGGCAGCUGUCCAGGCCUCCCCUUCCUCCAACAUUAGCCAGGGCUGUGGCUUUCCCUUCGGAAAGGGAGACAGCAUUGAGGGAAAGUGGCUUACUGCAGACUUCAGGGCCUUACUCACAGGACCAUCACCUUCCACUGCGCCUUCGGAAAGUCAGGGUGGGGAAGAAGCAGGCACCCCUCAGGGUGGCCUGCAGCAGCCACAGCAGGCCUUGUAGGAGGUGAUAUGGGGAAAAGCAAGAGGCUGUACAAUGCUGAAAGCAAGUCCAGGGCAUUUACUGUGAGGAAGCAACACAGGUGGAGGGCAGGGAGGCUGCCAGGGCCUUACCUGUGAUAGUGAAAGUCUCGGCACCCUGGACAUCCUGGACCAGACGCAGGCCUGUCCCGUGAGUCUCGCCUCCUCCUCAGCCCCACCCCUAUGUCCCCCACCAGGGCCAUGUGCAAAACCAUCCGGGUGCAUUGCGAUGGCACAGUCUGGUCUCCUCCGGUUAUGCCUGGCCAACGAGAAGGGUGCUGUCAGACUCCUGUUACAAAUGAGGAAACAGAGGCCAGGGAAGCCAAAGGCCAGAAGCUGAGGCCCUGCCACACCCCAGGAGUACACGUGUGUCUUUCCCUUUCUAGGUCAGAGCUCUUAGGCCUGCUGAAAACCUACAACUGCUACCAUGAGGGCAAGAGCUUCCAGCUGAGACACCGCGAGGAAGAAGGGACUCUGAUCAUCGAGGGGCUCCUCAACAUUGCCUGGGGGCUGAGGCGGCCCAUCCGGCUGCAGAUGCAGGAUGACCGGGAGCAGGUGCACCUCCCCUCCACCUCAUGGAUGCCCGGACGGCCCAGCUGCCCUCCAAAGGAGCCAUCGCCCCAGGACGGGAACAUGACAGCCCAGGGGCCAAGCAUUCAGCCAGUGCACAAGGCUGAGAGUUCCACAGACAGCUCGGGGCCCCUGGAGGAGGCAGAGGAGGCCCCCCAGCUGAUGCGGACCAAGAGCGAUGCCAGUUGCAUGAGCCAGAGGAGGCCCAAGUGCCGCGCCCCCGGUGAGGCCCAGCGCAUCCGGCGACACCGGUUCUCUAUCAACGGCCACUUCUACAAUCAUAAGACCUCUGUGUUUACUCCGGCCUAUGGAUCCGUGACCAAUGUGAGGGUCAACAGCACCAUGACAACCCUGCAGGUGCUCACCCUGCUGCUGAACAAAUUUAGGGUGGAAGAUGGCCCCAGUGAGUUCGCACUCUACAUCGUUCACGAGUCUGGGGAGCGGACAAAAUUAAAAGACUGCGAGUACCCGCUGAUUUCCAGAAUCCUGCAUGGGCCAUGUGAGAAGAUCGCCAGGAUGUUCCUGAUGGAAGCUGACUUGGGUGUGGAAGUCCCCCAUGACGUCGCUCAGUACAUUAAGUUUGAAAUGCCGGUGCUGGACAGUUUUGUUGAAAAAUUAAAAGAAGAGGAAGAAAGAGAAAUAAUCAAACUGACCAUGAAGUUCCAAGCCCUGCGUCUGACGAUGCUGCAGCGCCUGGAGCAGCUGGUGGAGGCCAAGUAACUGGCCAACACCUGCCUCUUCCAAAGUCCCCAGCAGUGGCAGGUGCACACUGAGCCCUGGUGGCUGGCCCCGGCCGGUCACAGUGACUGAUGGCCAACGCCUGACAAAUCGAGUGUCUGUGCAUCUACCUGUCUGAAGCCUGAGCACCAUGAUUCCCACAACCAGCUCUUGGCUCCAAGAUAAGCACCAAGGAAGCCGACCCAGGCCUGAGGGACCAGGAACUUGCUGGGUCAGAUCUGUGUGGCCAGCCCUGUCCACACCAUGCCUCUCCUGCACUGGAGAGCUGUGCUGGCCCAGCCCCUGUGGCUUAGGCUUCAUCUGCUUGCUCAGUGCCUGUUCUGGAGCCCGUGUGAGUCCACAAGCCUCUGUCCUCUUCCUUCAUAUGAGAUUCUUGUCUGCCCUCAUAUCAUGCUGCCCCGCAGGAAUGCUGCUGGGAAAAGCAGGGCCUGCCAGCAGGUAUGAGAUCUAGCCUGCUUUCAGCCAUCACCUUGCCACAGUGUCCCCGGCUUCUAAGCCUCCAGUGUUACCCUGUGAGCCUCACACAUGUCAGCCCCAGCACAGAGGUGAGACCAGGAAUAAGGCCACAAGUAUCUCACUUUCUCUGCAGAAAUCAGUCUUUACUUUAUCAGAGAGACCUAAAGCGAUUCUUACAAGGAGCUUGCUGCAAGAAACACGGUCAAUCACAUUGAGGAGGGUCCACAUGGCAUUGAGAGGGUGCGGCCCUCUCAAUGCCCAGCAGCAGCUCCAGAAGGCAGUGCUCAGCCCCAUCACCACUGUCCCGUGGAUGCCUGUGUACCUCUUGCCUUUUCUGAGCUUGCGUUUCUCUCCUCUAGUGGGUGGGGAUGACUUUCAGUGACUUUCAAUGCUUCCCCUGAAGGAAGAAUGAUAAGGAGAAAUGUCUGUUUUGAGGAAAGGGCUUUGAAUUCCCCAGAUACUGAACAAUUUGUGUUUGUGACUGAUGGAGAAUUUCAGGAAUGAAUGAGAAAGCCUUUGCGAAACUAUGCAACAGUUUACAUCAGUCAUAUGAAGUAUUUGUCUACAAACAGAGCAAACUGAAGACCAAAUUAUUCUCCUGUUGAGGUCCGUGGAUGGCAGAUUUAAAGGGAAGAACCACAAAGGCUUGCAAAGAUAGGAGAGGCUCCAUCUCUAAUGCAUGUAUAAGCUUCUUAUAGGUGCCCAUCAAGAGAAUAGCUUGGAAGCCACCAUGCUGUGCGGAACUGCUCGUCAGGGCAAAUGUCACAGCAGGAUUUCCCCAACCCAGCUCCAUCAUCACAGACACAGAGAGCUGCAGGGGAGGCCUGCCCACUGUUUUGUCGACUCUGCCCUCCUCUGACAGCAUAGAUCCUUAGGUGCUCAAUAAAGGUGUGCUGUAUUG